GACGAACGCUGGCGGCGUGCUUAACACAUGCAAGUCGAACGGAAAGGCCCUGCUUUUGUGGGGUGCUCGAGUGGCGAACGGGUGAGUAACACGUGAGUAACCUGCCCUUGACUUUGGGAUAACUUCAGGAAACUGGGGCUAAUACCGGAUAGGAGCUCCUGCUGCAUGGUGGGGGUUGGAAAGUUUCGGCGGUUGGGGAUGGACUCGCGGCUUAUCAGCUUGUUGGUGGGGUAGUGGCUUACCAAGGCUUUGACGGGUAGCCGGCCUGAGAGGGUGACCGGCCACAUUGGGACUGAGAUACGGCCCAGACUCCUACGGGAGGCAGCAGUGGGGAAUAUUGCACAAUGGGCGGAAGCCUGAUGCAGCAACGCCGCGUGCGGGAUGACGGCCUUCGGGUUGUAAACCGCUUUCGCCUGUGACGAAGCGUGAGUGACGGUAAUGGGUAAAGAAGCACCGGCUAACUACGUGCCAGCAGCCGCGGUGAUACGUAGGGUGCGAGCGUUGUCCGGAUUUAUUGGGCGUAAAGGGCUCGUAGGUGGUUGAUCGCGUCGGAAGUGUAAUCUUGGGGCUUAACCCUGAGCGUGCUUUCGAUACGGGUUGACUUGAGGAAGGUAGGGGAGAAUGGAAUUCCUGGUGGAGCGGUGGAAUGCGCAGAUAUCAUGAGGAACACCAGUGGCGAAGGCGGUUCUCUGGGCCUUUCCUGACGCUGAGGAGCGAAAGCGUGGGGAGCGAACAGGCUUAGAUACCCUGGUAGUCCACGCUGUAAACGGUGGGUACUAGGUGUGGGGUCCAUUCCACGGGUUCCGUGCCGUAGCUAACGCUUUAAGUACCCCGCCUGGGGAGUACGGCCGCAAGGCUAAAACUCAAAGGAAUUGACGGGGCCCCGCACAAGCGGCGGAGCAUGCGGAUUAAUUCGAUGCAACGCGUAGAACCUUACCUGGGUUUGACAUGGAUCGGGAGCGCUCAGAGAUGGGUGUGCCUCUUUUGGGGUCGGUUCACAGGUGGUGCAUGGCUGUCGUCAGCUCGUGUCGUGAGAUGUUGGGUUAAGUCCCGCAACGAGCGCAACCCUUGUUCACUGUUGCCAGCACGUUAUGGUGGGGACUCAGUGGAGACCGCCGGGGUCAACUCGGAGGAAGGUGGGGAUGACGUCAAGUCAUCAUGCCCCUUAUGUCCAGGGCUUCACGCAUGCUACAAUGGCUGGUACAGAGAGUGGCGAGCCUGUGAGGGUGAGCGAAUCUCGGAAAGCCGGUCUCAGUUCGGAUUGGGGUCUGCAACUCGACCUCAUGAAGUCGGAGUCGCUAGUAAUCGCAGAUCAGCAACGCUGCGGUGAAUACGUUCCCGGGGCU
rnacentral:rRNA from 1 species